rnacentral:rRNA from 1 species
ACGUAGGUGGCAAGCGUUGUCCGGAUUUACUGGGCGUAAAGCGCGCGCAGGCGGGCUGGUCAGUCCGGGGUGAAAUCUCACGGCUCAACCGUGAGCGGUCCCCGGAUACUGCCAGUCUUGAGGUGUCUAGAGGAGAGCGGAAUUCCCGGUGUAGUGGUGGAAUGCGUAGAUAUCGGGAAGAACACCAGUGGCGAAAGCGGCUCUCUGGGGACCACCUGACGCUGAGGCGCGAAAGCGUGGGGAGCGAACCGGAUUAGAUACCCGGGUAGUCCACGCCGUAAACGAUGAGCACUAGCUGUCGGGGGUAUCGACCCCCUCGGUAGCGCAGCUAACGCGAUAAGUGCUCCGCCUGGGGACUACGGCCGCAAGGCUA